rnacentral:rRNA from 1 species
AUUGAACGCUGGCGGCAUGCUUUUCACAUGCAAGUCGAACGGCAGCGGGGAGGAGCUUGCUUCUCUGCCGGCGAGUGGCGAACGGGUGAGUAAUACAUCGGAACGUGUCGAGAAGAGGGGGAUAACCACCCGAAAGGGUGGCUAAUACCGCAUAAAUUCUGAGGAAGAAAGCUGGGGGCCUGGGAAUAGGCCUAGCGCUUUUUGAGCGGCCGAUGUCGGAUUAGCUAGUUGGUGAGGUAAAGGCUCACCAAGGCGAAGAUCUGUAGCGGGUCUGAGAGGAUGAUCCGCCACACUGGGACUGAGACACGGCCCAGACUCCUACGGGAGGCAGCAGUGGGGAAUUUUGGACAAUGGGGGCAACCCUGAUCCAGCCAUGCCGCGUGUAUGAAGAAGGCCUUAGGGUUGUAAAGUACUUUUGUUAGGGAAGAAAAGUCAGCUGUGAAUAAUGGCUGAUACUGACGGUACCUAAAGAAUAAGCACCGGCUAACUACGUG